rnacentral:rRNA from 1 species
ACUCAAAUGAAUUGACGGGGGCUCACACAAGCGGUGGAGCAUGUGGCUCAAUUCGAAGCAACGCGAAGAACCUUAUCCUGGGCUUGACAUGUAUGGAUUAGUUCCGAGAAAUCGGAAUGAGGCCUUCGGGUACAACAUACACAGGUGCUGCAUGGCUGUCGUCAGCUCGUGCUGUGAAGUGUCGGGUUAAGUCCCUUAACGAGCGAAACCCCUAUCUCUAGUUGCUAACGCGUCAUGGCGAGGACUCUAGCGAGACUGCCGGUGUCAAACCGGAGGAAGGUGGGGAUGACGUCAAGUCCUCAUGGCCUUUAUGCCCAGGGCUGCACACGUGCUACAAUGGCAUCGACAAAGCGACGCAAAACCGCAAGGUCAAGCAAAUCGCACAAACGAUGCCCCAGUUCAGAUUGAGGUCUGCAACUCGACCUCAUGAAGUUGGAAUCGCUAGUAAUCGCGGAUCAGCUACGCCGCGGUGAAUAUGUUCCUGAGCCUUGUACACACCGCCCGU